rnacentral:lncRNA from 1 species
AUGUCACCAAGGGUCUUCGUGCUCAAAGUGACUGCUUGUUGGGAGAAGGACUCUCUGGUUUCAGUGUCAAUGCCGACUGCCGCAUUCUGUAAGUCAGGGUCUGUGAACCAUCUCGCCCCGGUCCAUCGACCCGGAUGCCUAAGACUGUUCUAUCGGGAUUGUGAUUUGAGCUCAAGUCUGUGUGGAUCCUGGGUUGGAGGUAAUCUAGUUGGCUCAGGAGACCACUGUAGGUCUUUCAGGAUUGCAGAAAUACCAUUCUGUUCCAAGAGUGAAGGAACAAACACAGAACUGGCAGCUCUAGUGGAUCAGAGACAGAACCUGCCAACCUAAUUGCCACCCACACCAGGGAGGCCGACCUUCAGGCAGUUGGGCAAAGCCUGAAGCAUCUUGUGAAACAGGCCAGGGGGCCAGUCUUCUGUUCAGAGGGAGCACUCGGAGCAAGGGGAAAGCCAGCCAGUCCAGGGCGUUACGUCGUGAGAGUUUAAUGUCUGGUCUUUGUUUCCAUUCUUUGUUGUGAGAGUGUGUAAUCACCUCGAGAGAGUGACUCAGCACCUCUGCCCCGUCUUUGUAACAUCUUCUAACUGGCUGCGUUUCCGGGGUUUGGAAAUACAUGACUGGAAAUUCAGGGUUAAGAUGGCAGAGCAAACCCACACAUUUAUAAUCCUUUCCCCGCCUUUACUAAAUGAAAAUAAACUACUGGCCCAUCAGAAAGAAAUGAAAGCC